rnacentral:rRNA from 1 species
GACGAACGCUGGCGGCGUGCUUAACACAUGCAAGUCGAACGGAAAGGCCCUGCUUUUGUGGGGUGCUCGAGUGGCGAACGGGUGAGUAACACGUGAGUAACCUGCCCUUGACUUUGGGAUAACUUCAGGAAACUGGGGCUAAUACCGGAUAGGAGCUCCUGCUGCAUGGUGGGGGUUGGAAAGUUUCGGCGGUUGGGGAUGGACUCGCGGCUUAUCAGCUUGUUGGUGGGGUAGUGGCUUACCAAGGCUUUGACGGGUAGCCGGCCUGAGAGGGUGACCGGCCACAUUGGGACUGAGAUACGGCCCAGACUCCUACGGGAGGCAGCAGUGGGGAAUAUUGCACAAUGGGCGGAAGCCUGAUGCAGCAACGCCGCGUGCGGGAUGACGGCCUUCGGGUUGUAAACCGCUUUCGCCUGUGACGAAGCGUGAGUGACGGUAAUGGGUAAAGAAGCACCGGCUAACUACGUGCCAGCAGCCGCGGUGAUACGUAGGGUGCGAGCGUUGUCCGGAUUUAUUGGGCGUAAAGGGCUCGUAGGUGGUUGAUCGCGUCGGAAGUGUAAUCUUGGGGCUUAACCCUGAGCGUGCUUUCGAUACGGGUUGACUUGAGGAAGGUAGGGGAGAAUGGAAUUCCUGGUGGAGCGGUGGAAUGCGCAGAUAUCAGGAGGAACACCAGUGGCGAAGGCGGUUCUCUGGGCCUUUCCUGACGCUGAGGAACGAAAGCGUGGGGAGCGAACAGGCUUAGAUACCCUGGUAGUCCACGCUGUAAACGGUGGGUACUAGGUGUGGGGUCCAUUCCACGGGUUCCGUGCCGUAGCUAACGCUUUAAGUACCCCGCCUGGGGAGUACGGCCGCAAGGCUAAAACUCAAAGGAAUUGACGGGGCCCUGCACAAGCGGCGGAGCAUGCGGAUUAAUUCGAUGCAACGCGUAGAACCUUACCUGGGUUUGACAUGGAUCGGGAGUGCUCAGAGAUGGGUGUGCCUCUUUUGGGGUCGGUUCACAGGUGGUGCAUGGCUGUCGUCAGCUCGUGUCGUGAGAUGUUGGGUUAAGUCCCGCAACGAGCGCAACCCUUGUUCACUGUUGCCAGCACGUUAUGGUGGGGACUCAGUGGAGACCGCCGGGGUCAACUCGGAGGAAGGUGGGGAUGACGUCAAGUCAUCAUGCCCCUUAUGUCCAGGGCUUCACGCAUGCUACAAUGGCUGGUACAGAGAGUGGCGAGCCUGUGAGGGUGAGCGAAUCUCGGAAAGCCGGUCUCAGUUCGGAUUGGGGUCUGCAACUCGACCUCAUGAAGUCGGAGUCGCUAGUAAUCGCAGAUCAGCAACGCUGCGGUGAAUACGUUCCCGGG